rnacentral:lncRNA from 1 species
CUUCGCUAUUGUUGGCAAUGAGACGUGCUCACGUAGUUUUAUAGUUAAAAUGUAAACAAAAAAAAAGUAUAUUGAAACUCUGUGGUCUUCCCAUUGUUUCCUAUGAGGGAAAUAUAGAGAGUGAGCUGAUCAAGGGGUAGAAAAUGUAGAUAUUACCAGAUGUUCACUGUCCAAGGAACAGGCCGUGGAAGUUUUAUUGCUGGCAAAAGUAUCCAUAACCAGAGCAUAAAGUACUCUGAAGCCGCUUAGUGUGGACACCAGGUGAGACCAAUAGAAUACAAUAGAAGACUUGCAAUUUAUUGCAAGUCUUCUUCACUUCAUCCCUAAAUCCUCAAGGUUAUAUCAACUGUUUUGGUGAAUCCCUCCCACAUUUGAACUGGCUGACUCAGAGGGCACAGCAUGAUCAUAGGUGAGAUGUCACUUGGUCAGGUCAACAGGAAGUAUUAUUAAAGAGAUGCUUUACAUUGAAAUACAGACAGAUGUAGUAGUCAUAGAGUUAAUGAUCCAAGGUCAGUUUUGCAUUUCACCUCCUGAUUAAGAUGACUGACUGUGUUAGAAUUUAAAAAAAACAAGGCUUAAUCAUGCUCUCUCUAUCAUCUGUCACUCGUCUGCAGGCAUGUUUUGAUGUGAGAGAGGAAGCCGCUGUUCUUACCUCUUUCCCUACACCUGUCUCCCCACCUCGUCUUUCUUUCUCAUUUUAUAAUGCACACCAUAUGUGCAUUGAAGUACAGAUUGAACUUGUAUUUAUAAUAUAGUAUUCCAAUUAUAAUGCAUUUGUAACACCUGGAUAAUGAACUUCUUUCAAUAAAGUGUUUCACAUUCUC